GCCCAGCUGGCUCAGUGGGUGGAGCCUGAGACUCUUGAUCUCUGGGUUGUAAGUUCGAGCCCCACAUUGGGUG
rnacentral:tRNA from 1 species